CAGUAGCGUAUAUAAAAGUUGUUGCAGUUGAAAAGCUCGUAGUUGGAUUUCUGGCUUGGAACGGCUGGUCCGCCGUAUAUGCGGUGCGUACCGGUUCGAUCCAGCCAUCCUUCCAAGGACCUCUCCUGCCCUUCAUUGGGUCGGGUGUAGGCACUUGGAUCGAUUACUUUGAAAAAAUUAGAGUGUUCAAAGCAGGCGUUUGUCUUGAAUACAUUAGCAUGGAAUAAUGACAUAGGACUUUGGUUCUAUUUUGUUGGUUUCUAGGACUGAAGUAAUGAUUGAUAGGGAUAGUUGGGGGUGCUAGUAUUGUGCGGCCAGAGGUGAAAUUCUUGGAUUCGCGCAAGACUAACUAAUGCGAAAGCAUUCACCAAGGAUGUCUNCUUUAA
rnacentral:rRNA from 1 species